rnacentral:lncRNA from 1 species
GCAUGCUGCCUUUCCUCACUCUCCUCUGCCAGUUUCCAUAAAGAAGAUAGAGGAUGACACUGACGGGAAAGGAAACAGAGUAGAUAAGAGGGAGCUUGCUAAGUGUGGACACACCUUCAAUACUCUUUUAAGAGCUGUCUAAGGUCGCUUCUUUAUAAGAUUUUCCUGUCUUCUUCAGGUAAAGCUUUUUGAAGUCCUCCGCAUUUUCUUGAUAUCUCUAUGCUCAUCCUUCUUAUGUUGCAUUGUAAUUUGGGGUGAUUAUAUAUUACUUCUCCACUCAUCUCCUCAUUCAUCCCUACCCCACAUCAGACUCUAUACUCUACAAGGCAGAAAAUGUGUCAUCCUUGCUUAUAGACCAGGUCCAGCCUAAUCACAAUGCCUGGCACAGAGUGGACACUCUAGACACCUCUGUUGAACAAAAGAAAAAAAAGGAAAGAAUAAAGAGAACUUUUCCUUCUUCCUUUUGUGUAUCCAUAUGUCCAGAGCACUUCAGAUUUUGUAUACAUUGAUUUCAUGUACCUACUAGGCAAUCAAUUUCAUGGAAGACAUACUGAGUGUCUAGUGUGUUCAGGCAUUGUGAUAGGCAACGUAAGUUACAGAAAGCCAGAAGAUGAGUGCCCUACUCAAGAAGCUUGCCGUCUAACUAGCAACUUGGAUAAUUGCAAAACUAGGUUUCUACUCUCAUUUAAGUACCUAUGGUAUGACCAAGCAAAUACUUAUGCUGUCCAUUAGUGAAAGAGGCCACUGCAACCCUUUUAACCAAAAAGUUGAAGUGAAUUUUCCAUAUGUGCUGCUUGCAUUUUCUCUUGGUACAAAGUUCCAGUCAACAUACAAAACCUCUUUGAAGAAAAAAAAGAAAUAAAAUUUAUGUAGAAAUUUACUUAAUCCUAAGUGAUGGGAGACAAAAAAGUCUUUCACCUCACUCAAACCACAUAAAGGACUUUCAAAAGCAUUUCAGCAUUCCUGGGCUCCGUUCCCGCCACAUAUCCUACUAGCCAGACAAGGAAGUACCUCUUUCCCUAUGUGAAGUCUCUUCUGUUGGACAAUUAGUUCCACGUCUUGGGAUCUCAUUUCCUAAGGUCCUGCCAGUGACCUUCUCUUAAAAACCAUUAAUUCUUGUGAGACUCUGGCCAGGUGAAGUUUGGUCUGGCUCCUGGACAAGGGCGAUCCUGAGCAGUCCUGUGAAGCCUGAAGCAGUAUUGCACAUCGCCCUGAAGUCGGAACAUUUUUGGCCCUGCGAUGACUGGCUCAGUAGGCGUAUUACCUUCCAAUGUGUCUACCUGUCUAACAGAGGAAAAUACACAUUCUGAAAGAUGUUCUCUGGCCAAGCACUGUGCUGCAGCUUUCUGGUCUUCGAGGUCGAAUAGGAAUUUAAAGGAAGAGAAAGGGACCAAGAUGGGAAGCAAUGAUGUGUACAAAACAAAAUAAAACAAAACAAAACAAAGGGGCAGCGGGAAAAAGAAGGAGAGAGAAAAAGAAAACGCAGCAACGAAGCAAACAAAUGUAUAGUUACAGAAGACUGGGAACAUUCCAGGCUAUUUCCAUUAUCCGUACCUCUCCAUCAGACCCAAGCUCUUUGAAAGGAACAUAGGACAAACAGAAGAGUUGAAUAAAAUUUAAAAUAAGUGUUUCAAAGCAU